GGAAUAUUGCGCAAUGGGGGCAACCCUGACGCAGCAACGCCGCGUGCGGGACGAAGGCGUCCGCGUCGUAAACCGCUUUCAGCAGGGAAGACAUCGACGGUACCUGCAGAAGAAGCCCCCGCUAACUACGUGCCAGCAGCCGCGGUAACACGUAGGGGGCGAGCGUUAUCCGGAUUCAUUGGGCGUAAAGCGCGCGCAGGCGGCCGCUCAAGCGGGACCUCUAAUCCCGGGGCUCAACCCCGGGCCGGGUCCCGAACUGGGCGGCUCGCUUCGGGUAGGGGGGAGCGGAAUUCCCGGUGUAGCGGUGGAAUGCGCAGAUAUCGGGAAGAACACCGACGGCGAAGGCAGCUCCCUGGGCCCUGAAGGACGCUGAGGCUCGAAAGCAUGGGUAGCGAACA
rnacentral:rRNA from 1 species